GGAGUCACCCGGGUGAACGCCGGUCACUGCAGGACGGGGUGACGGGAGGAAAGUCCGGGCUCCACAGGGCAGGGUGCUGGUUAACGGCCAGUCGGCGUGAGCUGCAGGAAAGUGCCACAGAAAACAAACCGCCUCCGGCAACGGAGGUAAGGGUGAAAUGGUGCGGUAAGAGCGCACCGCGCGCCUGGUGACAGGAGCGGCACGGCAAACCCCACCCGGAGCAAGAGCCAAUAGGGGAGCGCAAUCCCGAAAGGGAGAGCAUGGGCGGCCCGUCCAAUGCUCCCGGGUCUGCUCGCUAACGAGUUGUACGAGGUCUCCAGCAAUGGCGACUCUGGAUGAAUGUUCAUCGCCUGAGUGGAAACACGAGGGAUACAGAACCCGGCUUACAGGGUGACUCCGACC
rnacentral:RNase_P_RNA from 1 species